AACACUCAGCUGCACCUGUUGGUUCUCCUGCAGCAAGGUUUCCUGCUAUUGGUGGUGUAAAAAAUGGUGACGGUUUAAGUUUUGGUGAAGGGAUUUUGAGAAGUGGGCUAAAGAAUAGCGAGUGUAAUGAUGAUAAAGCCGUCAUAAUGCGUGUUGUUCUAUGUGGCUGCUUUGUUGAGGAAGAAGAUGAAGUGAAGGAAGGAGAAGGCGGGAGCCAUGUGGAAGAAACUAGACAAGAGAGGAGAAAAGAAAGCGAAACUCAAACAGUCGCGGGUUGUUUGCUUGCUGUGUGGUGGGUUCACUAAUUCUGGCCACACAAUUUUAAAGAUUCAUUUUGCUACCCAAUAUGUGUAAGAAGGGGUUUGUAUCAAUUGUGAUGGCUUUAUGUUGAAGACUUAAAAUUAUUUUGAUUUGUUGUAUAAAAUUUAAUUAUUUGUAAUUACGUUGAAGGCUUAAAAUUAUUAUGUUUUUAUUUAUGUGGAGGUUGUUAAAAUUUG
rnacentral:lncRNA from 1 species